UACGGAGGGAGCUAGCGUUGUUCGGAAUUACUGGGCUUAAAGGGUACGUAGGCGGCGCUGUCAGUCGGGUGUGAAAUACCUCGCUCAACCGAGGAAUUGCGCCCGAUACUGCAGUGCUUGAGGGAGACAGAGGUAAGCGGAACUGAUGGUGGAGCGGUGAAAUGCGUUGAUAUCAUCAGGAACACCAGUGGCGAAAGCGGCUUACUGGGUCUCUUCGUGACGCUGAGGUACGAAAGCUAGGGGAGCGAAGGGG
rnacentral:rRNA from 1 species